CAAUAGCGUAUAUUAAAGUUGUUGCAGUUAAAAAGCUCGUAGUUGGAUUUCUGGUCGGAAGCUCCUGUCCUCUGAUGAGCGUACAAGUGCGUCCUACCAUCCUUCUGUUAACCUUUAAGGCUUUCGCGGCUUUCUAGGGGCUCAGAUAUUUUACCUUGAGAAAAUUAGAGUGUUUCAGGCAGGCUAGCGCCGGAAUACAUUAGCAUGGAAUAAUGGAAUAGGACUUUUGCCUCUUCUGUUGGUCAUGAGGCUCGAGUAAUGAUUAAUAGGGAUAGUUGGGGGCAUUAGUACUUAACUGUCAGAGGUGAAAUUCUCGGAUUUGUUAAAGACUAACUUAUGCGAAAGCAUUUGUCAAGGAUGUUUUCAUUAA
rnacentral:rRNA from 1 species